UGUGAAAACGAAGAGUUUGAUCCUGGCUCAGGAUAAACGCUGGCGGCAUGCUUAACACAUGCAAGUUGUACGAAGGUAUUUAUCUUUCGAGCUAAAUAUACUGAGUAGCGGACGGGUGAGUAACACGUAAGAAUCUACCUUUUGGAGAGGGAUAACUACUGGAAACGGUAGCUAAUACCUUAUAUUGCUGAGAAGUGAAAAAUGUAAAUUGCCAGAAGAUGAGCUUGCGCCUGAUUAGCUAGUUGGUGUGGUAACUGCAUACCAAGGCAAUGAUCAGUAGCUGUUCUGAGAGGAUGAUCAGCCACACUGGGACUGAGACACGGCCCAGACUCCUACGGGAGGCAGCAGUGAGGAAUUUUCCGCAAUGGGCGAAAGCCUGACGGAGCAAUGCCGCGUGAAGGAUGACGGCCUAUGGGUUGUAAACUUCUUUUCUCAGAAAAGAUUAAUGACGGUAUCUGAGGAAUAAGCAUCGGCUAACUCUGUGCCAGCAGCCGCGGUAAGACAGAGGAUGCAAGCGUUAUCCGGAAUGAUUGGGCGUAAAGCGUCUGUAGGUUGUUUAAAAAGUAUUCUGUCAAAAAUUAGGGCUUAACCCUAUACAGGCAGAAUAAACUUUUAAGCUAGAGUUUGGUAGAGGCAGAGGGAAUUCCCGGUGGAGCGGUGAAAUGCGUAGAUAUCGGGAGGAACACCAAAGGCGAAGGCACUCUGCUGGGCCAAUACUGACACUGAGAGACGAAAGCGAGGGGAGCAAAUGGGAUUAGAUACCCCAGUAGUCCUCGCUGUAAACGAUGGAUACUAGGUGUUGGGUGUAUCAAAAACAUUCAGUAUCGUAGCUAACGCAUUAAGUUUCCCGCCUGGGGAGUAUGCUCGCAAGAGUGAAACUCAAAGGAAUUGACGGGAACCCGCACAAUUGGUGGGGUACGUGGUUUAAUUCGAUGCAACGCGAAGAACCUUACCAGGAUUUGACAUGUCAUUUGUUUCUUCAACUUAAUACUUUAAUUUGUUUUAAGUAGAAACAUAAAAAAAUGAACACAGGUGGUGCAUGGCUGUCGUCAGCUCGUGUCUUGAGAUGUUGGGUUAAGUCCCGCAACGAGCGCAACCCUUUUUUUGAAUUGCUUGGGGCAUUAUAUGCCUUUUUACAGAGGAAAUUCAAAAGACUGCCGGUGAUAAGCCGGAGGAAGGUGAGGAUGACGUCAAGUCAGCAUGCCCCUUAUAUCCUGGGCGACACACGUGCUACAAUGGACGUAACAAAGAGAAGCUACUUCGCGAGAACAAGCUAAUCUCAAAAAUACGUUCUCAGUUCGGAUUGCAGGCUGCAACUCGCCUGCAUGAAGUUGGAAUCAAUAGUAAUCGCAGGUCAGCCACACUGCGGUGAAUACGUUUCCGGGUUUUGCACACACCGCCCGUCACACCACGGAAAUUGGCUACGCCCUAAAUCAUUACCCUAACCAUUCUGUGGAGGGGGAUGCCUAAGGCGGGGCUGGUAACUGGGGUGAAGUCGUAACAAGGUAGCCGUACUGGAAGGUGCGGCUGGAUCACCUCCUUA
rnacentral:rRNA from 13 species